AUGGACCCUCAACCUGAUCCUCCCAAAGCCCCCACUGUGUUCCCAUUGACUCCUAGUCGCCCAACCCGGGUGGCCAGAGCGACUUCCGCUGUCUCCGUAGUUCCUAUCGGUUGCCUCAUCAAAGACUACUUUCCUGAACCAGCCACAGUGCAAUGGAAUUCAGGCACCAUCACCAGUGGAAUCCACCACUUCCCUCCAGUUCGGCAUGCAUCCGGCCGGUAUACUCACACCAGCCUGCUCACCAUCACCCCUAGCCAGUGGGAAUCUGAAUUAUUCUAUUGCAAUGUCGUACAUGAAGCCACCAACUCCACAAUCAACAAAUACGUUGGCCAAACCAGCAGGGAUUUAUCCACUAGGAUUAAUGCCUACCUUCUGCCCCCACGGCCAAAACACCUCUACAUACACAGAAAUGCCAAGAUCGUUUGCGUGGUUGUCAAUCUGGAACGGAAGGACGGGUUGAAAGUAAGCUGGACGCGCGAGAAGCAAGUCGUCACACGUCCGGAAUUAGUGGCGGUGACCGAAGAAAACAAUGGGACCUUCACCGCUGUCAGCCGCCUCCCUGUCUCUGCCCAAGAUUGGGAAUCCGGAGAAACUUUCACCUGUUCGGUAGAAUAUCCAGGUUUGCUUGGUCCCAUCGUGAAGACAAUUUCCAAGAGCAGAGCUACUCCCAAAGCCCCCACUGUGUUCCCAUUGAGUCCUAGUGACCAAACCCAGAGGGCCACUGACUCCAACGUUAGCAUCGGUUGUCUCGUCAAAAACUACUUUCCUGAACCAGCCACAGUGAAAUGGAAUUCAGGUGCCAUCACCAGUGGAAUCCACCAGUUCCCUCCGAUUGUUCAUUCAUCCGGCCACUAUACUCACACCAGCUUGCUCACCAUCCCAGCCAGCCAGUGGGAAUCUGAGACAUUCCAGUGCAACGUCGACCAUGAGGCCACCCACACCAGAAUCAACAAAAACAUUGAGCGGUGUGACUAUGAACCGGUGGCUCCUAAGGUCCAUAUACUCCAUUCUUCUUGCAACCCAAAAGGCAGUGAUGGAACCAUAACACUGGUGUGCUUCAUUGAGAAUUUCUACCCCAAAGAUAUUAAGGUUGAGUGGCUGGUGGGCAGCCACCAUGGAUUGGUGGCUCCCUACACUGAACCUCCGACGCGUGAUGCAAAUAAGUACACUUUCAGCACCAACAGCGUCGUCAACAUCACCCAGCAAGAUUGGUUGGAAGGAAAUACUUACUACUGCCAGGUAACCCACGCAGCAUCACAAACAAAAACGAAAAGCAGAGCCAGGAAAUGUGAAGAUGCCACCAGCCACUUCUCCACCGCCAUUACCAGCUACCUUCUGCCCCCACAACCAAAAGACUUGUACAUGAACAGAAAUGCCAAGAUCGUUUGCGUGGUUGUCAAUCUGCAACAGGAAGAUGGGUUGAAAAUAAGCUGGUCCCGCGAGAAGCAAGCCACCACGCAUCCGGAAUUAGUGGCGGUGACUGAAGAAAACAAUGGGACCUUCACCGCUGUCAGCCGCCUCCCUGUCUCUGCCCAAGAUUGGGAAUCCGGAGAAACUUUCACCUGUUCGGUAGAAUAUCCAGGUUUGCCUGGUCCCAUCGUGAAGACAAUUUCCAAGAGCAGAGAAAAGAGCAAGGCACCCAUCGUCCACAUCUACCCUCCCAUCAAGGGCAAUAUGAUUAUCAUCAACUGCUUUGUCCAUGACUUUGUCCCACAGCAGAUCGAUAUUCAGUGGCUAAAGAAUGGCCAGGCCAUUUCCGAAACCGAAUACGUCAAUACUCCAGCUGUGAAGGAAAAGACUGACGAUACCCACUUCGCAUUUAGCAAACUGACCGUCUCUAGGCAAUCUUGGGAGGAGAGGGACCUGUUUAGCUGUUUGGUUGUCCACGAGGCCCUUGAAAUGAAGUUCACCCAGCAGACCAUAGAGAAAACUUCGGGUAAACAUUGACGGCUCAAAACAUGACUUGAAUUCCUAGAUUCGUCUCUCUCAUGGUGUUGGAUCCCAAUCCUUGUAAAUAGUUUACAUGCUUACGUGUUUGGCUAAAUAAAAGCAAACCA